rnacentral:misc_RNA from 1 species
AAGUCGUAACAAGGUUUCCGUAGGUGAACCUGCGGAAGGAUCAUUAACAUUAUCUAAACAAAAACACUAACGGGGGUCACAUCCCGUUUUUGUAUCCCAACCAAACAGCGAACUUGUGUGCGAGGAAGGAAAGUUUGGCCGAAAAAGCCAAAUUCUUUCUCUUGCUUGCACUUUUUUCUUCAUAUUUCCUUAACCACAUUUUAAAACCCAAUGAAAAGUUUUUAUGACUGAACCUGUGUUCUUGCCUCUCGAAAGGGAGAAGAACAUUUAAAAAAAAACAAACCAAAAAACAACUCUUAACAACGGAUAUCUUGGCUCUC